GGUUUAGAAAAUAAGUUCCUAGUAUCCUAGCUUGAUCAUGAAUUCUCACAUCUAUGUAGAAAUCAAAAACCGUCCAUGGUGGUGUGAGAAGAAAUAGAAAUUACUGGUAGUGAAUUUACAAAUUUAAUAACUAUUUUCUUGGUGAAAUAACUGAAGAUUCACCAGGACAAGGCAAUGUUCCAACCAAAGUACAUAGACAGGCCGGGUGAAUGAAGUUCAGUGUUCCAACAAUGUCAAGUUAUUGAUCGAUGAGCUUUGGCAGUGUGCAAUAGGUGAUUUCAGUGCUGCGUCUAUUUCUUUAAUAACCAAACAGUCUGCGAGAGAAUUUUAUCAAUUUAUUUUGCUGCUGCCAUGCUUAAGUUUUCAUUUGCAGUCUGUUCAAGGACCAUUUAUUUCAUGGGAGCGUUCAGAUCCUAGAGUAAGCAAAGAGGUCUUGAAGUGCAAAGUCUUGACAAGUCCCGGCAGCCAAUGUUUUUCUAGUCAGUCCACCAAAGUUGGAGAGAACCAAAGUAAAUGAUUCUUGAUAGAUUUUUCGCAUGCUGUUGGUUUAGAGGUUAACAAGGACUUGAUAUUGAUAAACUUUGCUUUGAUGCCAAAGGUGGAGAAGAAGGUUCACUCAAAGCCAGGUGGCAAGGCAGAGGGCAGAAAAUGGAUGGAGCAAAGUUUACCACAUGACAAAAUGCCUCAAAAAUAAAAUUGCUGGUGGUUUGUGGAAGAGAGCCUGGAUUUGCGAAGCUGUAAGGAACAUUGAAUAAAGUCCCGUAGCUCAAGCAAGCAAUUGAAGGAAGGCUUUCCGAUGUUUACAACGACCCCAAUGAAAAUCCCAAGGAAAGAUAUCCUAUUGUGCAAGAUCCAUCCCUAGUUUGAGCAGCCCAGCUGGCUUGCCUGCUUCAAGUAAACACACUUCCUUCGGCCAGCACGGCCGAAUACGCCAUUAAAAUGUACGCAUCAAUGGAGAGAAAGGUUAACCACCUCUUGAGUGAGAGAUCACAUGUACUGGAGGUCCCUGUGCUAAGCCAUCUGGUUACUUAUGCUCAACCCAUGGUCAAGUGCCCAGCCAACACUACAUUUUCAAGAGUAACAUUGUUUGUGAAUGCAACAGUCUUAAUGAUGCUUGCAAAGUUUUAUUGGAUUUAGUUCUUUAAUUACAACAGUUGAGAGAAAAUUCUGGCUGGACAAUUUUGGUCAUUGUACAAGGUCAACCAAAGAUGAUGUUAUAUUUUAUUAUCAUUAUUCAUGUGUACAGUUUUGGGACAAAUUACAGCAACGGUUUUUGGAAGUCGAAGUAGGCUAUGUUUGGCACAAAUAGUUAUUGUUCGGUUUCACUGUUGUGACAUCCUACUUGUUCUGAGAUAGAUUAUUGCAAAUUCUUCUUUUAAUUCAUGUCUGAGGCGAUUUUGAGCAGGACUGAAAGAUGAUCCAUCACAACAAGAACACUACA